AUUGAACGCUGGCGGCAGGCCUAACACAUGCAAGUCGAACGAGUGGCGGACGGGUGAGUACUGUCUGUGAAACUGCCCGAUGGAGGGGGAUAACUUCUGGAAACGGUAGCUAAUACCGCAUACCAUCGGAUGUGCCCAGAUGGGAUUAGCUAGUAGGUGGGGUAACGGCUCACCUAGGCGACGAUCCCUAGCUGGUCUGAGAGGAUGACCAGCCACACUGGAACUGAGACACGGUCCAGACUCCGACGGGAGGCAGCAGUGGGGAAUAUUGGACAAUGGGCGCAAGCCAAAAGCAGCCAUGCCGCGUGUAUGAAGAAGGCCUUCGGGUUGUAAAGGACUUUCAGCGAGGAGGCGUUACCGACAGAAGAAGCACCGGCUAACGCCGUGCCAGCCGCCGCGGUAAUAC
rnacentral:rRNA from 1 species